rnacentral:rRNA from 1 species
GUAGCCCUACGGGGCGCAGCAGUGAGGAAUAUUGGUCAAUGGGCGCGAGCCUGAACCAGCCAAGUCGCGUGAGGGAUGACGGUCUUACGGAUUGUAAACCUCUUUUGCCGGGGAGCAAGCGUGCGUUCGUGAACGCGCGUCGAGAGUACCCGGAGAAAAAGCAUCGGCUAACUCCGUGCCAGCAGCCGCGGUAAUACGGAGGAUGCGAGCGUUAUCCGGAUUUAUUGGGUUUAAAUGGUGCGUAGGCGGGAUGCCAAGUCAGCGG